rnacentral:tRNA from 1 species
AGUCCCAAGGUGUUCAACAUAUAAGAUUGCAAAUCUUAAGACGCAGACUAACAUCUGCUGGGACUU